GACGAACCACACAAACGUUAUUCGGAAUUACUGGGCUUAAAGGGUGCGUAGGCGGCGCAGAAAGUAGGGUGUGAAAUCCCUCGGCUCAACCGAGGAACUGCGCCCUAAACUACUGUGCUCGAGGGAGGUAGAGGUGAGCGGAACUUAGGGUGGAGCGGUGAAAUGCGUUGAUAUCCUAAGGAACACCGGUGGCGAAAGCGGCUCACUGGACCUCUUCUGACGCUGAGGCACGAAAGCUAGGGUAGCGAACGGG
rnacentral:rRNA from 1 species